rnacentral:rRNA from 1 species
UGGGGAAUUUUGGACAAUGGGCGAAAGCCUGAUCCAGCAAUGCCGCGUGUGUGAAGAAGGCCUUCGGGUUGUAAAGCACUUUUGUCCGGAAAGAAAUCCUUGGCUCUAAUACAGUCGGGGGAUGACGGUACCGGAAGAAUAAGCACCGGCUAACUACGUGCCAGCAGCCGCGGUAAUACGUAGGGUGCAAGCGUUAAUCGGAAUUACUGGGCGUAAAGCGUGCGCAGGCGGUUUGCUAAGACCGAUGUGAAAUCCCCGGGCUCAACCUGGGAACUGCAUUGGUGACUGGCAGGCUAGAGUAUGGCAGAGGGGGGUAGAAUUCCACGUGUAGCAGUGAAAUGCGUAGAGAUGUGGAGGAAUACCGAUGGCGAAGGCAGCCCCCUGGGCCAAUACUGACGCUCAUGCACGAAAGCGUGGGGAGCAAACAGGAUUAGAUACCCUGGUAGUCCACGCCCUAAAACGACGUCAACUAGUUGUUGGGGAUUCAUUUCCUUAGUAACGUAGCUAACGCGUGAAGUUGACCGCCUGGGGAGUACGGUCGCAAGAUUAAAACUCAAAGGAAUUGACGGGG